GACAGAGGAUGCAAGCGUUAUCCGGAAUGAUUGGGCGUAAAGCGUCUGUAGGUGGCUUUUCAAUUCCGCCGUCAAAUCCAGGGCUCAACCCUGGACAGGCGGUGGAAACUACCAAGCUGGAGUACGGUAGGGGCAGAGGGAAUUUCCGGUGGAGCGGUGAAAUGCAUUGAGAUCGGAAAGAACACCAACGGCGAAAACACUCUGCUGGGCCGACACUGACACUGAGAGACGAAAGCUAGGGGAGCAAAUGGG
rnacentral:rRNA from 1 species